GUCGCGGCCGCCUCUGACUCGCUUGGUGCAGGUCGGGAACGCUUCGAUCUGAAUUUUUUUUUUUUUUUUUUGAAGUUACUGCGAUCAAAAGCGAAUCCCGCCUUGCACCAACUGAAUCGGAGGCGGCGAAGCGA
rnacentral:pre_miRNA from 1 species